GACAGAGGCCUCAAGCGUUUAGGCGGAAUCACUGGGCUUAAAGCGUGUGUAGGCGGAUCGUUAAGUGUCUUGUGAAAUCCCACGGCUCACCCGUGGAACUGCUGGGCAUACUGGCGAUCUUGGGCCAACUAGGGGCAACUGGAACAAGCGGUGGAGCGGUGAAAUGCGUAGAUAUCGCUUGGAACGCCAAAGGUGAAAACAGGUUGCUGGGGUUGUGC
rnacentral:rRNA from 1 species